AGUGAACGCUGGCGGCAGGCCUAACACAUGCAAGUCGAGCGGCAGCGGGUCCUUCGGGCUGCCGGCGAGCGGCGGACGGGUGAGGAAUACAUCGGAAUCUGCCCUGUCGUGGGGGAUAACCUAGGGAAACUUAGGCUAAUACCGCAUACGACCUACGGGUGAAAGCGGGGGAUCGCAAGACCUCGCGCGACAGGAUGAGCCGAUGUCCGAUUAGCUAGUUGGCGGGGUAAAGGCCCACCAAGGCGACGAUCGGUAGCUGGUCUGAGAGGAUGAUCAGCCAGACUGGGACUGAGAAACGGCCCAGACUCCUACGGGAGGCAGCAGUGGGGAAUAUUGGACGAUGGGCGCAAGCCUGAUCCAGCCAUGCCGGGUGGGUGAAGAAGGCCUUCGGGUUGGAAAGCCAUUUUGGCCGGGAGGAAAUCGUCUGGGCUAAUACCCCGGGCGGAUGACGGUACUGGAAGAAUAAGCACCGGCUAACUUCGUG
rnacentral:rRNA from 1 species